UAUAUAGUAAGAUAAGGAGAGGGCUUCGGGGAUCGACUCUCCCCACACCCUCACUCUCCAUUGAAUAACUUGACUCUAAUGGAUAAAAAUGAAAAACCUCUGCCAUUAAGAGCUGCAACGCUUGUUCUCUCUCUGUGUUGUUGAGGAUAUGGACUCGUUGAGCAUUUACAGUGACAACAAAUCUUUCUGGAGAGCCGAGACCAACCAUGCUAGGUCCACCAUAGAUAAAAUGGUAGCGGGAGAUGAUCAUUAACGAAGAAGAACACACAUAAACUUGGGAGUGAUGAAAUACUUGUUUUCUCUUCAUGUUGUGCGAGGCAUUUUGUUAAGGCAUUUACAGGGGACUAAAUGUCCCAGAUUGAUGACAUCACGUUCUUAGCGAUCGAUUUUGGCCUACAAAGCUAUAUGGGUACCCCCUCCACGUCUAGGGCUCGUCCUAAGAAAAAGAAUUCCUCGAAGACGCCAAAACGAGGGAAGAAGGUAAUUGAACACAUUUUUAGUUGUACAAUUGUUUGAAAAUGUUGAAAUCAAGUAUUAGUUGGAGUUUGCAGAUUGAUUAGUGUUUUUUGUCUAUUUUACAUGUACAUCGAUCAUUGAGCUAUGUGGAUUUGUUGAAUGCACCUGAUUCGCUCAUGGAUCAAGAGAGGGCAGAGGUAAUAGCGACAAUUUCUUCAUCAAUGGUGAGCCAUCCUCAGUCCAUUGGAGAAACAUCUUAGGUACAAACCCCUUCCGGUAUGACCAUAACGUGGAUCCAUUUAAGUAUGUCUUCAAGAAAACUCUUAAGAGUGACAAGGAGAGGAGAGCGAAGACAUUAGCUCCUAGAUCAGCCAAUGAGCCAUCUACAGAGCCACGUACUGCAUCAAAGAGGCUUGAUUUUGAUGAUCCACCACAAGUUUAGUAUCAUAUAGUGUUAGUUUUGGUCAUAUAAUGACCAAUACAUGUAGAUGUAUUCUAAAUUUUUAUUGUAUAUCGAUUUGGACAUGGCAUAUGCCACAUUUUUGUAAUACUUGUAUUGACUUGGCAGACA